CACUCCUGCGGGAGGCAGCAGUGGGGAAUUUUGGACAAUGGGCGAAAGCCUGAUCCAGCAAUGCCGCGUGAGUGAAGAAGGCCUUCGGGUUGUAAAGCUCUUUUGUCAGGGAAGAAACGGUGAAAGCUAAUAUCUUUUGCUAAUGACGGUACCUGAAGAAUAAGCACCGGCUAACUACGUGCCAGCAGCCGCGGUAAUACGUAGGGUGCAAGCGUUAAUCGGAAUUACUGGGCGUAAAGCGUGCGCAGGCGGUUUUGUAAGUCUGAUGUGAAAUCCCCGGGCUCAACCUGGGAAUUGCAUUGGAGACUGCAAGGCUAGAAUCUGGCAGAGGGGGGUAGAAUUCCACGUGUAGCAGUGAAAUGCGUAGAUAUGUGGAGGAACACCGAUGGCGAAGGCAGCCCCCUGGGUCAAGAUUGACGCUCAUGCACGAAAGCGUGGGGAGCAAACAGGAUUAGAAACCCCUGUAGUCCCA
rnacentral:rRNA from 1 species